rnacentral:rRNA from 1 species
UGAACAGGAGCUUGCUCCUGGGAUUAGUGGCGAACGGGUGAGUAACACGUGAGUAACCUGCCCUUGACUCUGGGAUAAGCGUUGGAAACGACGUCUAAUACCGGAUAUGAGCUGCGGCCGCAUGGUCUGCAGUUGGAAAGAAUUUUGGUCAAGGAUGGACUCGCGGCCUAUCAGGUAGUUGGUGAGGUAAUGGCUCACCAAGCCUACGACGGGUAGCCGGCCUGAGAGGGUGACCGGCCACACUGGGACUGAGACACGGCCCAGACUCCUACGGGAGGCAGCAGUGGGGAAUAUUGCACAAUGGGCGAAAGCCUGAUGCAGCAACGCCGCGUGAGGGACGACGGCCUUCGGGUUGUAAACCUCUUUUAGUUGGGAAGAAGGGAGCUUGCUCUUGACGGUACCAGCAGAAAAAGCACCGGCUAACUACGUGCCAGCAGCCGCGGUAAUACGUAGGGUGCAAGCGUUGUCCGGAAUUAUUGGGCGUAAAGAGCUCGUAGGCGGUUUGUCGCGUCUGCUGUGAAAUCUGGGGGCUCAACCCCCAGCCUGCAGUGGGUACGGGCAGACUAGAGUGCGGUAGGGGAGAUUGGAAUUCCUGGUGUAGCGGUGGAAUGCGCAGAUAUCAGGAGGAACACCGAUGGCGAAGGCAGAUCUCUGGGCCGUUACUGACGCUGAGGAGCGAAAGCAUGGGGAGCGAACAGGAUUAGAUACCCUGGUAGUCCAUGCCGUAAACGUUGGGAACUAGAUGUAGGGGCCAUUCCACGGUUUCUGUGUCGCAGCUAACGCAUUAAGUUCCCCGCCUGGGGAGUACGGCCGCAAGGCUAAAACUCAAAGGAAUUGACGGGGGGCCCGCACAAGCGGCGGAGCAUGCGGAUUAAUUCGAUGCAACGCGAAGAACCUUACCAAGGCUUGACAUAUACCGGAA